GCUGUUUCUUUCUUUGUUCCUUUUUUUUUUUUUUUUGAAAAAUAACGACGUCUCUGAGGCGCGAAUUCCGACAGUGAGAGGAACGGCCGGAUACAGGAGACGGGAAGAAACAAGCCGAUUAUGUUCGCGUUAAUUAGGUAGUUGGAAGAUGUAAAAUUCUCAAUUCUGCCAACUGAACAUAUACGAGAUUUUAAUGAGGAUGAAUAAUUAGCCGGCAUGGAGGAAACGGACCUUUAUUUGGUGGAGUGUCGACAAGAAGCCAAAAGACGGGUGGCCGGUCUAUGAAGCCUCCAUCAUCAAGCUAGCAGAAAUCCCACCUCUCCUUCUGGCUACAGAGUACUUACCAAGCCCAUGAAAUCGAAUGCAGAUCUUCCUGAUGUGAGAUUUACAUAAAUAUGUCAAAGUCUCAACCUCAUGCUGCCCUCCCCCAUCCUCCUAAACCUGUGGAUACAAAUGCAGAUUUCCUUAAUGUUCAAUGGUGCGUGUUCUUCUAAUGGCCGCCUUCCCACUGGAAGUUUUGAUCCACAGCAAUUUAAAAGGAGGACAGAGCAAAACGGACAUCGGCAAGAGAGUGAAGAACUGCCCUUCAUAAGGACACUAUGACAGCCAUAUAUAGUAAGUGAAGACUUUCUGUGUAUCUAAAAUUGCAUACAGCACAAGUAACUUACUUUGCAACCAUUAAAAUAGGUUGUAAAGUAAGUUACCAAUACAAAUAGGUGAUGAUGCAUUGUAGUGGUUGGUCUCAGACAAAGAAGGUCAACAGAUUUAUGAAUGCUGGAGGGUAAGGAGAGACGACCAAAAGGGGUGUUAGCAUUACUGUAAUGUGAACUGGAUAGACUUUCCAUCUAGGAAAAAAAAGAGGUAAAAUUAUGCGUAAAAUAUACCUGUAUUAAUAUCUGUAUCUAUAUAAACAGAAAUAUCUGUUUGCUAAAUGAAGCCAGCUAACAUAAAUCAUAUUUUUAUUUUAACUCUGAUAAAAGUAAUAGAACUGUGACUUUUGUUUGUUACAGUGGCGGUAAGGAAGAGGUUUCCCAAUGUGUCCAGAAGGGCUUUGAGGAUUGCAGUGAAAGCUGGGGGAACUGAGACUGCUGGAAAAGGAAAAGAAAUUACAUUUAAAGUAUGUUGACUUAUGUUCACACAAUCACACACACAUAUACACAUACACACACACAUAUGUGUACAUAUAUAUAUACACACAUAUAUAUGUAUUUGUGUGUGUGUCUGUGUUUCUUUUAGAAUGUUUAAGUAUGUAAUGAGAAUAAAAUUAUA
ensembl:lncRNA